rnacentral:rRNA from 1 species
UUAAGCGACUAAGCGUACACGGUGGAUGCCCUGGCAGUCAGAGGCGAUGAAGGACGUGCUAAUCUGCGAUAAGCGUCGGUAAGGUGAUAUGAACCGUUAUAACCGGCGAUUUCCGAAUGGGGAAACCCAGUGUGAUUCGUCACACUAUCAUUAACUGAAUCCAUAGGUUAAUGAGGCGAACCGGGGGAACUGAAACAUCUAAGUACCCCGAGGAAAAGAAAUCAACCGAGAUUCCCCCAGUAGCGGCGAGCGAACGGGAGCAGCCCAGAGCCUGAAUCAGUGUGUGUUAGUGGAAGCGUCUGGAAAGGCGCGCGAUACAGGGUGACAGCCCCGUACACAAAAAUGCACAUGCUGUGAGCUCGAUGAGUAGGGCGGGACACGUGGUAUCCUGUCUGAAUAUGGGGGGACCAUCCUCCAAGGCUAAAUACUCCUGACUGACCGAUAGUGAACCAGUACCGUGAGGGAAAGGCGAAAAGAACCCCGGCGAGGGGAGUGAAAAAGAACCUGAAACCGUGUACGUACAAGCAGUGGGAGCACGCUUAGGCGUGUGACUGCGUACCUUUUGUAUAAUGGGUCAGCGACUUAUAUUCUGUAGCAAGGUUAACCGAAUAGGGGAGCCGAAGGGAAACCGAGUCUUAACUGGGCGUUAAGUUGCAGGGUAUAGACCCGAAACCCGGUGAUCUAGCCAUGGGCAGGUUGAAGGUUGGGUAACACUAACUGGAGGACCGAACCGACUAAUGUUGAAAAAUUAGCGGAUGACUUGUGGCUGGGGGUGAAAGGCCAAUCAAACCGGGAGAUAGCUGGUUCUCCCCGAAAGCUAUUUAGGUAGCGCCUCGUGAAUUCAUCUCCGGGGGUAGAGCACUGUUUCGGCAAGGGGGUCAUCCCGACUUACCAACCCGAUGCAAACUGCGAAUACCGGAGAAUGUUAUCACGGGAGACACACGGCGGGUGCUAACGUCCGUCGUGAAGAGGGAAACAACCCAGACCGCCAGCUAAGGUCCCAAAGUCAUGGUUAAGUGGGAAACGAUGUGGAAGGCCCAGACAGCCGGAUGUUGGCUUAGAAGCAGCCAUCAUUUAAAGAAAGCGUAAUAGCUCACUGGUCGAGUCGGCCUGCGCGGAAGAUGUAACGGGCUAAACCAUGCACCGAAGCUGCGGCAGCGACGCUGAUGCGUUGUUGGGUAGGGGAGCGUUCUGUAAGCCUGCGAAGGUGUGCUGUGAGGCAUGCUGGAGGUAUCAGAAGUGCGAAUGCUGACAUAAGUAACGAUAAAGCGGGUGAAAAGCCCGCUCGCCGGAAGACCAAGGGUUCCUGUCCAACGUUAAUCGGGGCAGGGUGAGUCGACCCCCUAAGGCGAGGCCGAAAGGCGUAGUCGAUGGGAAACAGGUUAAUAUUCCUGUACUUGGUGUUACUGCGAAGGGGGGACGGAGAAGGCUAUGUUGGCCGGGCGACGGUUGUCCCGGUUUAAGCGUCGUGUAGGCUGGUUUUCCAGGCAAAUCCGGAAAACUAAGGCUGAGGCGUGAUGACGAGGCACUACGGUGCUGAAGCAACAAAUGCCCUGCUUCCAGGAAAAGCCUCUAAGCAUCAGGUAACAUCAAAUCGUACCCCAAACCGACACAGGUGGUCAGGUAGAGAAUACCAAGGCGCUUGAGAGAACUCGGGUGAAGGAACUAGGCAAAAUGGUGCCGUAACUUCGGGAGAAGGCACGCUGAUAUGUAGGUGAAGCGACUUGCUCGUGGAGCUGAAAUCAGUCGAAGAUACCAGCUGGCUGCAACUGUUUAUUAAAAACACAGCACUGUGCAAACACGAAAGUGGACGUAUACGGUGUGACGCCUGCCCGGUGCCGGAAGGUUAAUUGAUGGGGUCAGCGCAAGCGAAGCUCUUGAUCGAAGCCCCGGUAAACGGCGGCCGUAACUAUAACGGUCCUAAGGUAGCGAAAUUCCUUGUCGGGUAAGUUCCGACCUGCACGAAUGGCGUAAUGAUGGCCAGGCUGUCUCCACCCGAGACUCAGUGAAAUUGAACUCGCUGUGAAGAUGCAGUGUACCCGCGGCAAGACGGAAAGACCCCGUGAACCUUUACUAUAGCUUGACACUGAACAUUGAGCCUUGAUGUGUAGGAUAGGUGGGAGGCUUUGAAGUGUGGACGCCAGUCUGCAUGGAGCCGACCUUGAAAUACCACCCUUUAAUGUUUGAUGUUCUAACGUGGACCCGUGAUCCGGGUUGCGGACAGUGUCUGGUGGGUAGUUUGACUGGGGCGGUCUCCUCCUAAAGAGUAACGGAGGAGCACGAAGGUUGGCUAAUCCUCUGGUCGGACAUCAGGAGGUUAGUGCAAUGGCAUAAGCCAGCUUGACUGCGAGCGUGACGGCGCGAGCAGGUGCGAAAGCAGGUCAUAGUGAUCCGGUGGUUCUGAAUGGAAGGGCCAUCGCUCAACGGAUAAAAGGUACUCCGGGGAUAACAGGCUGAUACCGCCCAAGAGUUCAUAUCGACGGCGGUGUUUGGCACCUCGAUGUCGGCUCAUCACAUCCUGGGGCUGAAGUAGGUCCCAAGGGUAUGGCUGUUCGCCAUUUAAAGUGGUACGCGAGCUGGGUUUAGAACGUCGUGAGACAGUUCGGUCCCUAUCUGCCGUGGGCGCUGGAGAAUUGAGGGGGGCUGCUCCUAGUACGAGAGGACCGGAGUGGACGCAUCACUGGUGUUCGGGUUGUCAUGCCAAUGGCACUGCCCGGUAGCUAAAUGCGGAAGAGAUAAGUGCUGAAAGCAUCUAAGCACGAAACUUGCCCCGAGAUGAGUUCUCCCUGACUCCUUGAGAGUCCUGAAGGAACGUUGAAGACGACGACGUUGAUAGGCCGGGUGUGUAAGCGCAGCGAUGCGUUGAGCUAACCGGUACUAAUGAACCGUGAGGCUUAACCU